GAUGAACGCUGGCGGCGUGCUUAACGCAUGCAAGUCGAACGAAGCAUUUAAGACAGAUUACUUCGGUUUGAAGUCUUUUAUGACUGAGUGGCGGACGGGUGAGUAACGCGUGGGUAACCUGCCUCAUACAGGGGGAUAGCAGCUGGAAACGGCUGGUAAUACCGCAUAAGCGCACAGUACCACAUGGUACAGUGUGAAAAACUCCGGUGGUAUGAGAUGGACCUGCGUCUGAUUAGCUUGUUGGCGGGGUAACGGCCAACCAAGGCGACGAUCAGUAGCCGAGAGGAGAGGGGGCCCGGUCACAACUGAGCUGAGACCCAGACCAGACUCGUACGGAAGGGAGCAGAGGGGAAUAUUGCACAAUGGAGGAAACUAUGAUGCAGCGACGCCGCGUGAGUGAAGAAGUAGUUCGCUAUGUAAAGCUCUAUCAGCAGGGAAGAUAGUGACGGUACCUGACUAAGAAGCACCGGCUAAAUACGUG
rnacentral:rRNA from 1 species